rnacentral:rRNA from 1 species
AUUGAACGCUGGCGGCAUGCCUUACACAUGCAAGUCGAACGGCAGCGGGGGAGAAGCUUGCUUUUCCUGCCGGCGAGUGGCGAACGGGUGAGUAAUACAUCGGAACGUGCCCUGUAGUGGGGGAUAACUAGUCGAAAGAUUAGCUAAUACCGCAUACAACCUGAGGGUGAAAGUGGGGGACCGCAAGGCCUCAUGCUAUAGGAGCGGCCGAUGGCUGAUUAGCUAGUUGGUGGGGUAAAGGCCUACCAAGGCGACGAUCAGUAGCUGGUCUGAGAGGACGAUCAGCCACACUGGGACUGAGACACGGCCCAGACUCCUACGGGAGGCAGCAGUGGGGAAUUUUGGACAAUGGGCGAAAGCCUGAUCCAGCAAUGCCGCGUGUGUGAAGAAGGCCUUCGGGUUGUAAAGCACUUUUGUCCGGAAAGAAAUGGCUCUGGCUAAUACCUGGGGUCGAUGACGGUACCGGAAGAAUAAGGACCGGCUAACUACGUGCCAGCAGCCGCGGUAA